rnacentral:rRNA from 1 species
UUUAAAUUGAGAGUUUGAUCCUGGCUCAGGACGAACGCUGGCGGCGUGCCUAACACAUGCAAGUCGAGCGAUGAAACUUCCUUCGGGAAGUGGAUUAGCGGCGGACGGGUGAGUAACACGUGGGUAACCUGCCUCAAAGAGGGGGAUAGCCUCCCGAAAGGGAGAUUAAUACCGCAUAACAUUAUUUUAUGGCAUCAUAGAAUAAUCAAAGGAGCAAUCCGCUUUGAGAUGGACCCGCGGCGCAUUAGCUAGUUGGUGAGGUAAGGGCU